UUCUUAUUUAGAGAGAUGGAGGGACUGGCCCUUUGAUAUCUCAGCAACAGACUUUUUUUGCACUGUGCUAAUUCCAGAAGCGUAACGCUUGAAGAUAAGAA
rnacentral:ncRNA from 2 species